UGCCAGCAGCCGCGGUAAUACGGAGGGUGCAAGCGUUAUUCGGAUUUACUGGGCGUAAAGCGUGCGUAGGCGGUUAGACAAGUCUGAUGUGAAAUCCCGGGGCUCAACCCCGGACGUGCAUUGGAAACUGUUAGACUAGAGUACUGGAGAGGAGAGCGGAAUUCCUGGUGUAGAGGUGAAAUUCGUAGAUAUCAGGAGGAACACCCGAAGCGAAGGCGGCUCUCUGGACAGUUACUGACGCUAAGGUACGAAAGCGUGGGGAGCGAACGGGAUUAGAUC
rnacentral:rRNA from 1 species